GGGCUACAGCUCAGUGGUAGAACAGCUGCUUUGCAUGCAGAAGGCCCCAGGUUCAAUCCCUGGCAUCUCCA